AGGGUCUCUUGCUCUGUCACCCAGGCUGGAGUGGCAGUGUUGCAAUCUCGGCUCACUGCAACCUCUGCCUCCCAGGUUCAAGUAACUGGGACUACAGGUGUGCGUCACCAUGCCUGGAUAAUUUUAAAUUUUUGAUAGAGACAGGGUCUCGCUAUGUUUCCCAGGCUGUAUUACUGUCUUUGAUUACAUAGGUCAGUGACAACAGGGAACUAGGUCUCACAGUGACCUGCUAUGGACUUCAGAGAUUCCUUGGCAAGGCAUUGUCGAAAAUAUAAGGUUCAUGUUGAAGUUGUCAUAAAAUUUUUAUGUAGCUGUAUAAAU
rnacentral:antisense_RNA from 1 species